AACGGGAUUAUCGCAAUAAACCGUCGGUGGUUUGCUCCCAUCGGAGCUCCCGAGAAGCAGGUGGUUCGGUGUUAGAGGCUGAGCCAUUUCGUCGUCCAGGGGCACGUAGGUCGUCUGGGGAAGAUACACUGAUUAAGCACCUUCUUUACGGAACGUACCAAACGCUCCCAGCAGCCGCCGAAAUGAGGUGCUCCAGGCGGGAUGAAGGUCCAUUUCAUUUUAGGUCCACAAAACUCCGUCAUCAGGGCGUCGUGAUCAACCUCCUCCAACACUUCUCUCAGCUCGCGCGAGGCUCCGACGAAGUUGGUACCUCUAUCGCUGAUCAUUUCCAGAGGCAUACCGCGUCUGGCGAUGAACCGUCGAAUCGCCAAUAUGCACGACGCCGUGGUGAGGGAAGCUGCUACCUCGAGAUGGACAGCUCUCGACGUCAAGCAGGUAGCUAGGACUCCCCAUCGUUUCUCUUCUCUUCGACCGACGACCACUAAAAACGGGCCGAAAUAGUCGAUACCUGUGAAUGAAAAGGCACGCUGAGCAAUUGCGACACGUUGUGGCGACAAGCGUACCGCUUUAGCGCCAUGGCUUUGUUGCAAGGCAGAUUUACGCAGUCGUACCGCCAUAAAAGUCCCGUCUCGUAUCGCUGCCCGUCGAACUUCGUCUCUCGCUCAAGUAUGGUCAACGCC